GAUGAACGCUGGCGGCGUGCUUAACACAUGCAAGUCGAACGAAGCAUUUAAGACAGAUUACUUCGGUUUGAAGUCUUUUAUGACUGAGUGGCGGACGGGUGAGUAACGCGUGGGUAACCUGCCUCAUACAGGGGGAUAGCAGCUGGAAACGGCUGGUAAUACCGCAUAAGCGCACGGUAUCGCAUGAUACGGUGUGAAAAACUCCGGUGGUAUGAGAUGGACCCGCGUCUGAUUAGCUGGUUGGUGAGGUAACGGCCCACCAAGGCGACGAUCAGUAGCCGACCUGAGAGGGUGACCGGCCACAUUGGGACUGAGACACGGCCCAGACUCCUACGGGAGGCAGCAGUGGGGAAUAUUGCACAAUGGAGGAAACUCUGAUGCAGCGACGCCGCGUGAGUGAAGAAGUAGUUCGCUAUGUAAAGCUCUAUCAGCAGGGAAGAUAGUGACG
rnacentral:rRNA from 1 species